AGCAGCAGCAGCAGCAGCAGUGGAUGAAGUAAGGGUAAAUCGGGAUUGGUUGUGGGCCAGUGACUGUAGGAACAAACUGAUGGAAUACAUUUUUCUUCCUAAGGUGUUUGAACAUUUCCAAAAUAUUAAUAAAAAUGGAAAAAUUGAAGCUCACAUUCAUUACGACGUGUGCCCCAGAUCUCCUGGGAGUUUAAUGUCAGGUAGACUGGUUCUAGGCUGGUCAUCUUCCUGUCCAUUUGGGCCCCACACCCUCCUGGAUUCUCGUCCACUUCCCUCCUUGGGGUGACUGCUGAUCUGGCUCAAGUCCUCAGUAGGGGAGGCAGCAACCUGCUUGCUUCUCAUGCUUUUCCUCAUUCCCCGCUGCUCUAUUUACUAACAGAGCGCCCUUAGGGGAUGACCCCUGAACACCAGUCUGAUGGUUGUCCCCCUUGAGAUGCUGUCUGUGACAGCAGUAGACACCAUUCACUUUUUGACACUCUCUCUCCCUCUGGCUCCCAUAAUGAUGCAGCUACUGACUUUCUUCUAGUUUUGAAGCCACAUCCGUAACUAUCCACUCAUUCUCCUCUUCAUUCCAACCAUCACCUCCCCAGAGAGGACCCUCCUCUCAGGAUCCAGCUUGCCUCCCUCCUGACCUCUGUAGUCUCACCUCUUCAGCUACCAAACAGCCUUACCUGGAGGCUCCAUCAUCACUUUGCAUGCACUGUUUCAGGUUUCCUGAGGCCCAGUAUUUCCUGCCUGCUCUCCUUUCAUGAAGCCUCAUCUCUCAUUGAUAUGCUUCUCCAUUCUCACCACACAUACAUCCAGGCCCUCUGGAUGGAUCUCACCUCUGGGCUGGCAUCCCCAGCAUCUUUCGCUUUGUGGACUGGCAUCCAGAAAGUACCACUGAGCCUCCCCACUCCUGAGCUCAGCCAUCCUUCUUCUUGCAGGGUGAAAUUCUAAACUAUUUCUCCACGAGUCUCCAUUUGAUCUCAAAUGACUCUUUCAGCCUGAUUUCCCACCAUGAAGACUCCACACUAACCUGCUUAAUGACAGCAUCCUUCCUUUGAGUUCUAGGUCUUCCUGGUCCUUUCUCCUGGAGGAUGAGGCUGGUCCUUCCUGUUGCAAGCCAGGACCCAGCUUACUUGUAGCCACAGACGCAGACUGCUUCACCUGGCAUCAUCAACAUGGUUUACCCACCCUUCACUGGGCAUCUGGUGGAAACACGACUCUGAGUCCGCCAGGGGGUCUUCAGCGCUCCCUGGCCACAUGUGGGGACCAUCAUGAUCUUUGGGAUCAUCUCGAACAUCUCCCCACCUCCGACACCAAGUCUGUGCCUUUCCAGUAUAAGCAGGCUCUGGGAACACAACUUCAAAGCUUGGCGAUGUGGGCUCCUCCAAGGAGCGUUCAAAGCAACAAUGGACUUAAACCAGACUCCAAACUCAUUGCCUCUAGACCUGUGCAAGACUACUGUGUUCAGCAAUCGAAGGCAAGGGCAUGCGUCACUGGAGUCCAGCCACCAUAAAUGUCAAUGUGAGGAUUAAAGACCAGCUGGCAUCAUGAUGUUGCUGGAAUGAUGGUUGUCUCGGGCAUGUCUUCAUGUUGGCAAUCUCAGGAAUCAGUUCCCUUGAAGCUGCUCUUGAAGCUCGCCCUUCCAGCCCUGAGACCUGAGGCUUCAACCCCGUCACCACCCAGCUGUGUUAUCUUUGGGUCUCACUUAGACUCUUAUCUAUCCAAGGGACUGGAUUUAUUAGAAACAAACAGCAAGUUAGAUGCAUGCGAGGGCUCCCAAGAGCAUCAGGUAUAAAGUGGAAAACACUUUGUGUUUAGAGACUCUCAGCAUCUGGGUGAUGGUCCAGCCUCAUGUCAUCCUCAUGGGUUCACCCCAAACAAAUCCUGUCUUCAGGGCAGACAGACCCACUGGAAGGAAUUCAGAUACCCACAGUGUCUUUCCAGAGCAACAAAACAGACACCUUAAAAAUGGCUGCACAAAGAACUUUAUCCUUAAAUCUAAAUUUUCAUGGGAGUCAAGAAGAGCAAGGAAAAGGGAAACAAUCGGGGGCAAUUUUCAGAGAUGGGUGGUCACCACUGGGAGCUUGAGUAAGAAUUCUUCCGUUUCUUUUUAAGACUGUGCCUUGUGGCACGCAGGAUCUUAGUUUCCUG